GUAAGGAAUAUUGUCAAAUAUUGGUUUCUCAUCUGUAGAGAAUGUAGCUAUUAAUGUAAGGAAUAUUGUCAAAUAUUGGUUUCUCAUCUGUAGAGAAUGUAGCUAUUAAUGUAAGGAAUAUUGUCAACUACUGGAUUCUCAUCUGUAGAGAAUGUAGCUAAUAAUGUAAGGAAUAUUGUCAAAUAUUGGUUUCUCAUCUGUAGAGAAUGUAGCUAUUAAUGUAAGGAAUAUUGUCAAAUAUUGGUUUCUCAUCUGUAGAGAAUGUAGCUAUUAAUGUAAGGAAUAUUGUCAACUACUGGCUUCUCAUCUGUAGAGAAUGUAGCUAUUAAUGUAAGGAAUAUUGUCAAAUAUUGGAUUCUCAUCUGUAGAGAAUGUAGCUAAUAAUGUAAGGAAUAUUGUCAACUAUUGGCUUCUCAUCUGUAGAGAAUGUAGCUAUUAAUGUAAGGAAUAUUGUCAAAUAUUGGUUUCUCAUCUUAGAGAAUGUAGCUAUUAAUGUAAGGAAUAUUGUCAAACAUUGGUUUCUCAUCUGUAGAGAAUGUAGCUAUUAAUGUAAGGAAUAUUGUCAACUACUGGCUUCUCAUCUGUAGAGAAUGUAGCUAUUAAUGUAAGGAAUAUUGUCAACUACUGAUUUCUCAUCUGUAGAGAAUGUAGCUAUUAAUGUAAGGAAUAUUGUCAACUACUGGCUUCUCAUCUGUAGAGAAUGUAGCUAUUAAUGUAAGGAAUAUUGUCAAAUAUUGGUUUCUCAUCUGUAGAGAAUGUAGCUAAUAAUGUAAGGAAUAUUGUCAAAUAUUGGUUUCUCAUCUGUAGAGAAUGUAGCUAUUAAUGUAAGGAAUAUUGUCAACUACUGGCUUCUCAUCUGUAGAGAAUGUAGCUAUUAAUGUAAGGAAUAUUGUCAACUACUGAUUUCUCAUCUGUAGAGAAUGUAGCUAAUAAUGUAAGGAAUAUUGUCAACUACUGGUUUCUCAUCUGUAGAGAAUGUAGCUAUUAAUGUAAGGAAUAUUGUCAAAUAUUGGUUUCUCAUCUGUAGAAAAUGUAGCUAUUAAUGUAAGGAAUAUUGUCAACUACUGAUUUCUCAUCUGUAGAAAAUGUAGCUAAUAAUGUAAGGAAUAUUGUCAAAUAUUGGUUUCUCAUCUGUAGAAAAUGUAGCUAUUAAUGUAAGGAAUAUUGUCAACUACUGGAUUCUCAUCUGUAAAGAAUGUAGCUAAUAAUG